rnacentral:rRNA from 1 species
GUCGCCCUACGGGAGGCAGCAGUGAGGAAUAUUGGUCAAUGGGCGGGAGCCUGAACCAGCCAAGUCGCGUGAGGGACGACGGUCCUAUGGAUUGUAAACCUCUUUUGUCGGGGAACAAAGGCGCCCACGGGUGGGCGGAUGAGUGUACCCGAAGAAAAAGCAUCGGCUAACUCCGUGCCAGCAGCCGCGGUAAUACGGAGGAUGAGAGCGUUAUCCGGAUUUAUUGGGUUUAAAGGGUGCGUAGGCGGACAGUCAAGUGAGCGGUAAAAAUGCGGGGCUCAACACCGCACAGCCGUGGAAACGGG